GCAGCGGCACUCAGUGGAGCAGCACGAAUAUCUGAGGUAAGACAACAAAACCUUUCAAAUAAACUAUGAUCUUUUUGAAAAGCUAUGAAAAUAACACCUACGUAAUGUCAUAAUUGUGUGUUUCAUAAUGAAUAAAUGACGAUGGGCCACAGAAUUGUAGAAAAAUUAAGUACAAACGAUGUUAAUGUGGCCACAAUAUUAAGUUAGUUUACCGGUCCAGAGUUCACCAACAGAGGGCGCUGCGAGCUACAUUGAGUGCUUGGUCACGUGCCGCUAUUUCAUUCGUGAAGAACCUGGAGGACAGACGCUAUUAUCAUCAAUUCUCAAAAGAGACACCAUUGUCCCUAUCAAGACUGAAAUUGAUGGAGAUAUUUUAAUGAACCUAACUGAGACUACAAAAGCUUAAAUAUUACCAAAAAUGAAGGACUAAGUUAAAUUCAUAAGAUUACAAGAAAACCUAAAGACUGAGAUGCCAGCAAGACCACAGACACCACGAGACUUCUUAUUGAUAUUUCACCUGGAUCAGUCUCAAGACAACAUAUUGUUUGUUUGUAGCAACAUAUUGUAGCAAUAAAAAAGACUUGAGAGAAGAGUUUUUUUUUUCUUUGAAAGGACAAAGCAAACAAGAUCAAAAAUAAUUCAAGGUAUGCAACAGGUGAACACAACAAGAUGUCUUCAGCCCUGGUUACCAAAUAACAGUUCUUGAGAGUAAAGACUGGCAGAGGAUGUGCUUAAAAACAAAUUCCAAAAGAGAAAGAUCACCUUUGAUUAAUGUUGAAGAAAUAAAUGAAAUUUGCUGCAGGUUCAGCAAAGAAAACAGAUCAUUUUACCAGGAGUCCAUCAAAAAUAUGGCAGCCAUUGUAGAGAUGGAUGAUCUAUCUGGCCAAGAUUUGUAUCAAAAGAGGCCAAGGCCAGUAGGGGUAAGUGUCACAGACAGAGUCUGGUGGCACAGACAGUGAUCAACGAGUGCUAAAGAAGAGCAGUUGGGGUAGAUAUUGUUACUGAGUUGAAUGAAGAAAAACAAAUCUGCGUUGGUUUGGCACACAAAGGUCUCAAUGGUUGCUGCUGUCCUGCUGUUUCCACUUCUAUUAAAGGAGAAUCAGAGAUCUCUUCAUGUCAUCAGUGAGGCGAGUGCAUUUGGAACAGUGUAUCCAUAAUAUUUAAAUCUAUAUUUUUUUCUUUUUCAACCCCUUCUCCUGGUUAUCAUUUCUUCUAAACAUAUAGUUAGGGGUUAUUCUGUGGAACGGUUUGUGUCCGUGCAUGUUCCACAGUAAAAUCAGCAAGAAUGAAUAGAGGGAAUAUUCAAACAAAAAUAAAAAUUCUGUCAUAAUUUACUCACCUUCAUGUUGUUUCAAACUUGUAUGACUUUCUUUUGUUUUGUGAAAGAAAUUAUUUUCAAGAAUGUCACUGAAAAUUGUUGUUCUGGACCCCGGUGAUUUUCAUCAUAUGGACAUUCUUUAACAUUCUUAAAAAUAUCUUAUUUUGUGUUCUGCAGAAGAAAAAGGGUUGUUUGGAACAACAUCAGGGAGAGUAAAUGACGACAAAAUAUCCCUUUAAUGGGUCAUAUACUUUUGAUUACAAUUUGUUAUUUAGAAUUAACUGUUUUCUCACUGAUGUCAACUUAUAAUAUUAGUAAAGGAUUCUUGCAAACAAAAAAACUCAUAAUGUAGUUUUUCAUGACUACUUGCCACCCUCUCUAUUAUCUUAAUUAUGUUGAUAAUACAGUUUACACUGCCUCAUCUUUCUUUUCAAAGCCUCUUUUACAUUGACAGGUUCAAAAAUAGUCAAAGAUUUAUUGCUGACUCAUUUUUUAAUCUUAAUUAAAAAAAAAAAAGAAUUCACUUUAACUACUAAAUAUUGUUAUAGUAUAACCUUAUUUUCUCCUUACAUACACAUACAACCACAUACACCCA